UGUUCCCAUUCCGAACACAGAAGUUAAGCUCUCUAGCGCUGAUGGUACUUGGUGGGAAACUGCCUGGGAGAGUAGGACGUAGCCACGUU
rnacentral:rRNA from 1 species